AAUAACUUCAUUUUUCUUUUUUCCGUGGUCAACGUUUGAUCAUUUGUCUUAUUUGAAAAUUUUUUACGAUUAAUAUUUUUAUUAUUAGUAGAUGAUAAAAUAUGAAUAAUACUUUAUAUGUGAUUAGUAUUUUUAAGUUUUUGUACAAAUUCUUUAAAUAAGAUAAAUGGUCAAACGUUGGACACGAAAAAUAAAAAAUAAGAUUAUU
rfam:Oryza brachyantha chromosome 12, whole genome shotgun sequence.